UACGAAGGGUGCUAGCGUUGUUCGGAAUUACUGGGCGUAAAGCGCGCGUAGGCUGCAUAGCAAGUCAGUGGUGAAAUCCCGGAGCUUAACUUCGGAACUGCCAUUGAAACUGAUGUGCUGGAAUCUCAGAGGGGAUAGCGGAAUUCCAAAUGUAGGGGUGAAAUCCGUAGAUAUUUGGAGGAACCCCGGUGGCGAAGGCGGCUAUCUGGAUGAGUAUUGACGCUGAGGAGCGAAAGCGUGGGUAUCAAACAGG
rnacentral:rRNA from 1 species